UCCCUCGUGGUCCAGUGGUUAAGACUCUGAGCUUCCACUUCUGGGGCCUGAGUUCGAUCCCUGGUCAGGGAA
rnacentral:tRNA from 1 species